UUAGACAUUUCUCCCCUACAGUGGAGUAUACAUAAUCUAUAAAGAUAGCACAAAUAAUAUAGUAGUAAACUAUUCCCCACUCUUUCUCUCUCUCACAGCUGUUGGAUCUGUUUGGAGGCAGACGGUUGCCAUGGUACGGUUGCCAUGCGGCUGGUGUCUGAUUCAGACGGGCCCACACACUGUCAGUAGGAGGAGAAGAGAAAAGAAUUUGAGGGAGGUGGCACCAGGGGAUGGAGGAUUGGCACAGUAUAAUACACAAAUGCGUUUCAAGUCAAACCCAAAAGUGGCACAAGACACAGCCUGCAGUCAGUACAAACACAGUCUGUCCAGCCCUGCAAUUUUUAAAGGACAGAGCAGUUUCUCUCCUAGAGCUGGCCCAGUCCCCUGCCACGUCUGGCUUGAUCACAAGAGAUUCGCCUGGGGUUACAGGCUGGUCGGAUGGCUCUGACUGUCACUAGGAGGGGAUAGCAGACGUCUUCGGGACCCAGGAAUGUCCGGUAUUCUAACCCACCGCUGUGUACAAUGCUGAGGAUUACAACAUUCAGUGAAAGGCCAGGAAUUCUGACACCCACAGUGUUGUGAUGGGAACAGUAAAUCCCUCACCGCUGCCUCACCCGACAACCAGACAGGCAAUCUGCCAGUUCCCACCGGCGGGCACCUGGAAAUACAUCUGAGACCUGGCUGAAUGGUUGACAGGUGACCACACCUUCAUUUGUGGAGGACAUGGCAUUAAGAGAGCCAUUAGCCUGCAGGUGGAGAGGGACAAUGGCUGUGACAGCGCUCUGGUGGGAUCUGAGUAUUCAAUAACGCUCUCGUGUGAACUGAAUGCCAUCGUACAGUAGAGGAGAGUGUAGUGUGACAGACAUGAAGGUGUGAAAAGGUAAAUGAAGCUGAGCUUUGCUGUCUUCAGUCAUCUCAGACAACGCAAGUGUCAGUGGAACUGGGAAGCAAAUAACUGUUAUUAAAUCAUUUUCUGACAUGUUGUAUGUGUGUAAGAGGGAAACUGCAAAAUAGAGGGUUGUCGUGGCUAUUUCCAGGUGUGAAAGACAUGAUGGUAUGUCAUAAUGGAGUGAUGUACUGGAUGUGCGUAUGUAAGAGGAAGUAUGCUAUGUUUAGUACGGUGUAUAAUUUGGACAGAACGAAAGAGGAAAAACAACCCAAAGAAAAAUAUUACUGCCUAGAUGUUGCUCUUUCAUAGCUCAGGAGAUUUAUUUUAAGCAUCAACUUAGUGUCCGAUGUUUCUCGCAAACUUGCUUAGGAGAAAAAAUGGAAACAAAUGAGAGAAUUGUUCAAGUACAUUAAGAGUAUGGAGCUGUAAAAUUAAUGUUGAAUGUAGAGGUAAAAUAAUGUGGAUUUGUGAAAAUUUGAUGAUAAAUGUUUGAGUUCAUAUUUUCAUUGCAGACUCUGCAUAUCUGAGCUUAGUUUGUUACAUUUUUUAGAUCUCUUUUAAACUUUAAUGGAGACUUUUUGUGUCUCUCGUUCUCCAUUAAUCUCAUUGAUGUCUAGUAAAAAUUAAAGGACCCAUAUUAUGCAGAAUCCACUUUGACAAGGUGUUUGUACAUAAAUGUGUGUUGGCAGUGUGACCAUGACCACUCUAAAAUGAAAAAAAAAUCCACCCCCACCUUUUCAAA